rnacentral:lncRNA from 1 species
GCUGAUACCCUGAAACAACGGAAUAAUUCUUGCAGUCUUUUGAUAUAAAAUAACCCAGGUUCUGCUCUUUAUUCGAUUUUAUUAGACAUUUCUUAGAUCUAAAAGAAUUCCUGAUUGUGGGUUCGAAAAUGGUUUAAUUAUGGGAGGUUUGAGAGUUUGUUUGGAGCUAUUUGAGUUAUUAGAAUACUAUUCCAAUGAGGAUUAAUUGAUGAUUUGCUGGUGUUUCUGCUGCUGAUUCCUGCUGCAUUUGCUGAUUAUUCACCUAUGUUUGUCUUUACAUUUUCCAGGUACUUUCCUAGCUGUGAUUGAGGAAUGAUUUUUGAACAUGUAAUAUGAGUGAAAGUUCAUGGAAAUGAAUGCUGCUUUUGAAGCUAUUUCCUUCUUUCUUUAUUGCUUCCAUGCUCUAUAGCUGAAAUUUAAAAAUAAAUUUUAAUUGGGUUUUUAUUUUGUUCAAACUUGUGUGAUUGACCUGCAAGUAGUACUUAGCACUUGUAUCAACCAUGGAAUGUGAUUUGUAGUAGGUAACUGAUAUUGUUGCUCCAAGAACUCUUGGAAGUUUUAAAUGACAAUUGCUUAAUGAUGUCAAGUCUGCUAUGUUGUGGAUCUAGAAUAGGACUUGUGUGUAUUCAGGUUUCUAAUUCUAUCUCUAAAACCUUAUAUGUAUUCAAAUAGCCGGAAAUAGCAUCUCCUAGCUUCAGAUUGAUUAAUUGUUCAGCUAGUAGUGCUUAUCCUCUGUUUCUUUAUUUUGUAUUUUGCCUAAGCUUUAGUGUUAAUUAGAAAAAUAAAGUCUCAUUAGUAGUUGAAUAUAUUAUUUUAAUACAAGGUCUCAUUUUAAACUAGGAGUCUAUGGCAUAUGUUCUCUAUUUUAGCCUAACACUUAAAUUCUGAAUGACUUUGAAGUAUGAACUUUGUUCUUAUAGGGGAAGGGAUUGAUUGUUCAUACUUAAACUUCAAUACAACUCUCUUGUGUAUUAAUUCCCU